rnacentral:rRNA from 1 species
UACGUAGGGGGGCAAGCGUUGUCCGGAUUUAUUGGGCGUAAAGAGCUCGUAGGCGGUUCGUCGCGUCGGCUGUGAAAUCCCGAGGCUCAACCUCGGGUCUGCAGUCGAUACGGGCGGACUGGAGUUCGGCAGGGGAGACUGGAAUUCCUGGUGUAGCGGUGAAAUGCGCAGAUAUCAGGAGGAACACCGGUGGCGAAGGCGGGUCUCUGGACCGAGACUGACGCUCAGGCGCGAAAGCGUGGGGAGCGAUCCGG